rnacentral:lncRNA from 1 species
AUGAGCAAAAUACAGAAGAGUCUGAAUACUUGUCAAGACCAUCUCUGGUGCUCUGAUGCUGGAGAGAUGUCUGAACACAUCAGGUUGUCUUUAUCUCGGUUGGUUCUGCAUAGUUUGACUGUCAGAGACUGCAGCAGGUGGGUUGUGGUAAGGUAAGAAAUAGACAUGCUGUCACCCUGAACACAGUUUAUGCUCAACUAACAAACCUGUUUACAGCAUCUCUGUGUCACCACUGAAAGGAAAAGAAGAUCAAAAUGAGACAUCAAGCACUAUGAGAACGGAAACCACCACAUCACUUACAGCAUUAGCUUUUUAUUAUAGGUAACUGGUAACUCUAACUUUUUAACUGGUUCAUUUUAGGAAAUUAGAAUAAAUUUUAGUGAAAGGCUACAGAGGAUACAGUGAAAAAACAAACAAACAAAUAUUUUAAUGAUAUUUUUUUUUCUUUUCUCUAUUCUAGGUAAAUUUAAAUUAAAUUUAUGCAUUUAACAGACGCUUUUAUCCAAAGCGACUUACUGUGCAUUCAGGCUAUCAAUUUUUACCUAUCAUGUGUUACCAGGGAAUCAAACCCCCAACCUUGUGCUUGAUAGCGCAAUGCUCUACCAAUUGAGCUACAGGAACACAUAUGAGUAUAAGUUGUUUUAGUAAAGCCAGUUUUACCAGUGUUUAGUAAAGCUGUGGCUGAAAUGGAUAACUUGAUAGAAUGGUGUUUAAGAACAAAAGCCAUUACAACCGGAGGCUGCAGUUACAAGACCGCAAUUCUGUGACCGCAGCUUUAGGACCCUAGUAUUUUUGUGACAGCGCCACCUACUGUACUGAAUCAACACUAAUUAAAGAUGGACGACGUGGACAGCAACCAGACGGUGAGUAUCGAUAUUUAGUUAAGUUUUAUUUUAUAACGUUUAAACGGUGCAAAGUUUACAUAGUGAGAACUGCUACCUAUGAAUUAAUGAUUAAUUCCACCAAAUUAAGAAUUUGUGAGCUAGUUUUAUUAAUAUAUUACUAUGACGUUACUACUACGUUAAUUCGUGGCUAUGAUUUCAUAAAUCCUAAUUGUGUUUUAAUGACGAAGUAUUAUAAGUGAAUCUAGCCUGCACAUUAAUUAAACUUAUCAGAUGACAAGAGCAUGGUUGAUGUAAGGUUUGUAAGAUUUACCUGCAGCUUAAUGUAUUAGUGUGAAUACUGGCUUAAUAGUUGUUGUUUUACCAUAUUUAUGUAUAAAAUAUAUUUUAUAAUUAAACUGCACUGACUGCCUAGUUGCAGUAUGUGUUAGCCUGUUGUUUGUUAUUGUGUUGCAAUGAUAAAUGAGGCAUUUGGCAAUUUUAAUAGUUUGUUACAAUUUGGCCUAAUCUGCAGGUCUACUCCACACACAGUCCAUUGAUAUCAUGUGUUAGUUUCUGUCAUGUUCUGCAU